AUUGAACGCUGGCGGCAGGCUUAACACAUGCAAGUCGAGCGGGGUGAUGGUGCUUGCACUAUCACUUAGCGGCGGACGGGUGAGUAAUGCUUAGGAAUCUGCCUAUUAGUGGGGGACAACAUCUCGAAAGGGAUGCUAAUACCGCAUACGUCCUACGGGAGAAAGCAGGGGAUCACUUGUGACCUUGCGUUAAUAGAUGAGCCUAAGUCGGAUUAGCUAGUUGGUGGGGUAAAGGCCUACCAAGGCGACGAUCUGUAGCGGGUCAGAGAGGAUGAUCCGCCACACUGGGACUGAGACACGGCCCAGACUCCUACGGGAGGCAGCAGUGGGGAAUAUUGGACAAUGGGAGGAACCCUGAUCCAGCCAUGCCGCGUGUGUGAAGAAGGCCUUAUGGUUGUAAAGCACUUUAAGCGAGGAGGAGGCUCUUUUGGUUAAUACCCAAGAUGAGUGGACGUUACUCGCAGAAUAAGCACCGGCUAACUCUGUGCCAGCAGCCGCAGUAA
rnacentral:rRNA from 1 species